AAGACUAUAGACCUGCGGAGUACCUGCGGAGGGAUCAUUAACAAAUUAUCCAUUAUGGAUGGUUAAAAUCCAUAUCCACCUUCGUGUGCACAUCAUUGACAUGUUUGCUUUGGCAGUUGUUGGUCUUUUUUUUUUUAAUACCGACGCUGCCAGAGUUUUUCAUCCUUUUUCACCUUGACAAACUUUUGCUUUCCUUCUGGAAGCAAGUCCUUGAAAAGAAACAAAAAAGAUUAAAAUUGA
rnacentral:misc_RNA from 1 species